AUGGAAGAAAAUAUCCAAGGUCUUUGUUUUUAGGACAGUGGCACUGGGGAAAUGACAAGUCAGGAGGUCCUUGGCCUUUUUGUUCCUGAUGUUUGGCAGCUGUGUCACUGGGUAAUGAUUGACUCCUCCUGCACUCCUGCUGCCCUCCCUCUGCCGUCCUCAUGCCAGGCAUGGGGCAGGCACUGCCAUCCUCUCUUUGGUCCCAAGUGUCUUUUUCUAACAAAUGUCUUCAUUUGCAGAAGUCAUCCUCCUCCAGAUUAUGUCCUUUUGGAGUCAUGAGGAAGAGCCACAUCUCUUCUAGGCUGGGAAUCCAAAAAGCCAGCUUGGCAGGUUAUGUGCAUUAAGUCCACUUAUUCAUGACUCCAUAACUGUCCCCUUGAAACCCAAACCAAUUCGUCAGACAGUGGAAAAAAUAAUUAUUUCUUUUUUUUGUUUGUUCUGUUGGUUGCUCAACCAUUUUUCUUGUAUUCUCCAUUCUAUUUUAUUUGAAGUGGAGGCCAGGAAUUGAUGGGUGGACUUUCAGUGAGGAAAAGGUGGAGAGCACAGAGCUGGAUUUGGGUUUGCAAACAAACUUCUUUAUGCUUGCCUGUGUUUUGUCCUUUUGCAGAGAUGUCCUCUGAAAAACAUUUGAUCCAUUUAUUAGAAAUGAGUUAAAUUUGAGCCAAUGGGAAAUCAUAGAAUCACACAUCACUCUCUGGUCUGCCUGUCCUAAUGCACCAUCACCCUUUCUGAGAAGUUUUUUCUAAUAUCCAACCUGAACCUGAGAGUAAGAAUGCCUGCCAUAAGAAAUCCACAUGCACUGAAUUAAUCAUUCAACUAUGGGAAACAAAUUUAAACCAGAGAGCUGAGGACUUCUCUCAUAACCCAGAUCUUUGGUCACAGUGCAGUUUCUACCUAUCUAUAGAACCUGGAGGAUCAACUGAAGGUUGGUUUUUCUCCUGCUGUCCUCGGUGGACAGGAGAUCAAUGCAGGGAAUGAGCAGAGUUGUGCCCAGUGGAAACAACCAGUUACUCCAAUAGCACAACCACUACAUUCCUUCCAUGUGUCUAGGCUUUUGGGAUACAGGAUGCUGCAGGGACAGCAUGCUUAGCUGUUGAUAAAUUCUCUAGGGCUCCUUUGAGAGGCUGAUGCACUUGCACAGGCAUAGUAAAAUUGCCUGGCAUCAAGUGCCUUGUGUGUCUCAGCACACACACUUCAAAAUUUGAGAGAUUUAGCAGAGCAUACCAGAGUCAUUGUACAUGAUGCUAGAGGCAGUGAAGUUAGCCAGCUUUGCUUAUUAACUACAGUAAAGACUUGAAUUUCUAGGCCAGUUCUUAGUGCUUUAUGAAACUCCUGUUUUGGGGAUACAGUGAUUACAAGAUAGUUAAAGGAAACGUGCUUUGAUUCAGGUUUGAACACUGAUGUCUUUUGGAGAUAGACAAAAGGACAGUAGGAGGCUUUUUUGGUAACUCUCUUCCUAAGAAUUAUUUUACUGCAGUUUUGGCUGUUUUAUUAAUGUGGUUAAAUGUUCUGACUUUUCUUCUUUAGGAAUAUGUGAUGUCAGGUAUCUGGAAAAUGCUAUUACCCCAAAUAAUUGGAAAAACUAUUACAAAGGUGAAAGAGCUAAAUAUUUCUGCAGUACAAAUUAUCAUACUGAAAAUGAAGAUGGUGAAAUUAUGUGCACAAAGAAUGGCUGGUCACCUCCUCCAAGAUAUAUCUGUAAAGUUGAGUGUGCUUAUUUUUUGUCACAGUUUCUAACUGAGACCAAUAAAUCUGUGAUUACAUCUCCCAUGUUAAUCCCUCACCACUACUUAGUGCAACUCUAAGUCUAGGUGCCUUUGUACAGCCUAUCUGUGAUUUCUUGCCUCUUUUCAGUCUCUGGCUGUGCCACUUGAUCCCUGUUUCUCUUGUUUGCUGUCCAGUUGGUAUCAUACUGGAAGGAGGGAGGAACAGGGAAGUUACCUCUCCUAGCAUCAUUUCCAGCUUUUGAACCUGACUUGCACCAAGCCUGAAAUUGCUGGAAUGUCUCACCAGAAUUAUAAAUUCGAGGCUAGGCUGCCCCUGCAAUUAAACUCUGCUGCGUUUCUCUCUAAGUGUUAAUGUUCUUCCAGGAAAGAGUGGAAAAUGUGACCCACCUCCAGAUAUUGAAAAUGGAGAUAUUCUUUCCUUCCCGUUGCCAGAAUAUUCACAAGGUGCAACUCUGAAAUAUAAAUCUCUAUAUCCAGGAAGGAUCUCAGCAGAUCGGAUGUAUUAAUGGACAGUGGACCAAUCCACCAGUUUGCUUAGUGGCCUGUGGGCAGCUGAACAAGGUAUGAACAGUAACAACACUGAGCUGAAAUGGAGGGAAGAAAGAAAGUUUUAUUCCAGAUUGGGUGAUUUUAUCGAAUUUAUUGUAAAAUAGGAAAUGUGGAAGACCCAGCAUCUUCUCUUUUCAGAGUACAAUGUAUUAAUGGCACAUUUAAAUAUCCACGGUGCAAUCCAGAAAGGGGCUGCACAGUGCUUGGGUCAGAAAUGGAUAAGAACAACAUUCAACUACAAUGGAGAAAGCCUUGCACGUAUCGCUCUAAGGAACAGAUUUCCUUUACAUGCAAGUGGCUUCACGGGGCAGUUUCAAGACCAGAGAAAUUUAACCCACAGUGUCUGGAUGGAGAAAGUGUAUUCGGAUAGAUGGAAAUGACGUGACUGAGUCCAGCUGGAGAAAUGAAUGCUCCUUCAACAAAUCCUGUGAUUUGAGCUCGAGUUUUCCUGGGGUUUCCUGCUUUAUUGUGCUUUAUAGCUUAGACAGUGUUCUCCGUUGGAAUUUGCUAAUUCAUUUUCUCAGUACUAUUGGAUGAUUUUGUUCAAAUUUAACCAUUUUUUUGUAAAUGUAUCUACAUUCUGUAACCUUGUUUACAUUUCAUGCACGCAAAUGAUUGUGCUUACUUACAUCUUGCCUAUUCUGCAUUGAUCCCUGAUACUUUCAUUUACAUUUUCAUCCUGAAAAUGUGCAUUGAUUGGCUUUGGUGGCAUAAAACUGAGUCAAGAAUUAAAAAGACUGCAGGUAAUUUGAUUAUCAGUGUGUUUGGCCUCGACUGCUUCUAGCUUCUUCUCCAUGAGCAUGCCUGGAACAUAGCCUGGGAUGAUGGCGGAGGCAGGGUGAGUCAGAGUGAAUCUUCUUUAAACAACUCAGGGGAGUCUCUGGAUCACAGAACCCGAUUCCUACUCAGGACUUGAGCUUCCGUGUUGUUUGGUGGAAAGGCAAGAUGUUGGGAUGCAAGUAACUAACUAGGAUUUCUGGAUGUAGGUAGGCACGACUCCUUUGGUCCAGGUCCUGGAAUGAGCCAUCUUUUUCAUUUUUUGGUGGGUUUGCGUUGCUGUCUUGAUGGAUCUGAGACUCUUGUGCUUUAUUUAUUUAUUUUUUUUGGUAAUUGAUCCAGUGGUGACAUAUUGCAGCUGAUGGAGAGGAACAGGUGAUGUGUUUAUGUGGCACUGGCAUAUUGCUUGUUGGAGAGGGGUUUUACUGCCCUACUUGACAGAGCUCUGUAGAAGAUACGCACAUUUCUCUUGAAGUUCACUUUCCUAAGAAUUUUUUGAAAGGCAGUGUGCGCAGCAAGGGAUGAUUCUUUGACCUUGAAAUGCCUUCAACACAGAGAUUUUUCUUUAACCUCACCUAAUUAAUUCAGCCAGGCUCGUGAAAAUGAACCAAAGCAAUACGCUGCAUUUGUGUACUGUUAAUGGAGUCUGUCUGUCUCGGUAUUCAUCUGGGGUAUAAACAUGAGUUGAAUUCUAAGAAAAUAUAGCAAGUAAGUAGUACCUGAUUUUCCUGUUGUUGCUUUUGCUGAUAAGGGAAAUUUCAGGACAGCUAAAGCCUUGCUUUAGUCACUCCAAAACUAAAUAAUUGGACAUAAUUUCUUGGAGUAAGUUCUCAAGAGAACAAAGGCUGACUGCCUUUGCACACACAGAUCUUUUGUUGCAGGAACUUGGAGAAGAAGGAAUCUUUCAGCUGAAGACUGAGAUGAAUCAAUGCUGAAGGUCCACUAGAACAGUAGGACUCCAGUGUAGGGUGCAAGUACCCCUGUGCAAGAUAAAUCCAUUGAGAGUAGCAAGAAACUAUUAAACCUUCUGUUUAAACUAAAAGAAAAAAAAAAAAAAGAAAAAAGAAAUUGAGGUUUAAUGCCAUCUAACAUACAGAUGUGACAGCGGUGCUCUCACUUGGUCUCUGUGUCAGAGGACCAGCACCAUGGGUCAUAUAAGGCAAUGAAGUGUCCUGGGGGAAGAGCUGGGCUCCAUAUUGCAGAGGGAUUCCAUUUAGCUGUCUGGACUGUGGGAAUGAGAGAGAGGAAGACAGUGUAUUUUAGAUGUUCAUAUUGAGAAGAAGUGUGUGUUGUUUGUUUGUUUGUUUGUUUUUCAACUUUGGUGAAGCCUCUUGUUGCAAAACCUUAUCCAGAUGACAGGAAAAGCACUGCCAGCACUUUCAGUGCAAAGCAAUUUACUUUAUGUGCUCAUCUUUGCAGCCUUACAGAUGGCAUUCAUCUGCCAUCUAUUGUUGCCAAAGGGGACCCCUCCCUCCCCCCUGGCUUCAGCCAGAGCUGAAG